rnacentral:rRNA from 1 species
CCUACGGGGUGCAGCAGUGGGGAAUAUUGGACAAUGGGCGAAAGCCUGAUCCAGCCAUGCCGCGUGUGUGAAGAAGGCCUUCGGGUUGUAAAGCACUUUCAGUGGGGAAGAAAGCCUUGGGGCUAAUACCCUCGAGGAAGGACAUCACCCACAGAAGAAGCACCGGCUAACUCCGUGCCAGCAGCCGCGGUAAUACGGAGGGUGCGAGCGUUAAUCGGAAUUACUGGGCGUAAAGCGCGCGUAGGCGGUCUGAUAAGCCGGUUGUGAAAGCCCCGGGCUCAACCUGGGAACGGCAUCCGGAACUGUCAGGCUAGAGUGCAGGAGAGGAAGGUAGAAUUCCCGGUGUAGCGGUGAAAUGUGUAGAGAUCGGGAGGAAUACCAGUGGCGAAGGCGGCCUUCUGGACUGACACUGACGCUGAGGUGCGAAAGCGUGGGUAGCAAACAGGAUUAGAUACCCUAGUAGUC